CCUACGGGGAGCUGCAGUGAGGAAUAUUGGUCAAUGGACGAGAGUCUGAACCAGCCAAGUAGCGUGAAGGAUGACUGCCCUAUGGGUUGUAAACUUCUUUUAUAUGGGAAUAAAAUGUUCCACGUGUGGGAUUUUGUAUGUACCAUAUGAAUAAGGAUCGGCUAACUCCGUGCCAGCAGCCGCGGUAAUACGGAGGAUCCGAGCGUUAUCCGGAUUUAUUGGGUUUAAAGGGAGCGUAGGUGGAUUGUUAAGUCAGUUGUGAAAGUUUGCGGCUCAACCGUAAAAUUGCAGUUGAAACUGGCAGUCUUGAGUACAGUAGAGGUGGGCGGAAUUCGUGGUGUAGCGGUGAAAUGCUUAGAUAUCACGAAGAACUCCGAGUGCGAAGGCAGUUCACUGGACUGCAACUGACACUGAGGCUCGAAAGUGUGGGUAUCAAACAGGAUUAGAUACCCGGGUAGUC
rnacentral:rRNA from 1 species